GUGGGGAAUAUUGGACAAUGGGCGAAAGCCUGAUCCAGCAAUGCCGCGUGAGUGAUGAAGGCCCUAGGGUUGUAAAGCUCUUUUACCCGGGAUGAUAAUGACAGUACCGGGAGAAUAAGCUCCGGCUAACUUCGUGCCAGCAGCCGCGGUAAUACGAGGGGAGCUAGCGUUGUUCGGAAUUACUGGGCGUAAAGCGCGCGUAGGCGGUUUUUUAAGUCAGAGGUGAAAGCCCGGGGCUCAACCACGGAAUUGCCUUUGAAACUGGAAAACUAGAAUCUUGGAGAGGUCAGUGGAAUUCCGAGUGUAGAGGUGAAAUUCGUAGAUAUUCGGAAGAACACCAGUGGCGAAGGCGACUGACUGGACAAGUAUUGACGCUGAGGUGCGAAAGCGUGGGGAGCAAACAGGAUUAGAUACCCCUGUAGUCC
rnacentral:rRNA from 1 species